AUUUAUUUAUUCUUUUUCUUUAUUUUUAUACUUUUGUUUUCACGUUUUUUUUUAAUUUUUCUAGUUUUUUUCUUUUACUGUUUUUUCCUCUUUUUUCCUUUUUGUUUUAAAUUUUUCAUCUGUUUUGUUUUCUGAUUUUUUCCUUUUUUCUUUUUUUAUCUUAAUUGUUUUUCAUUUUUUCUGUUUUAUCUCUUUUUUGUUUUUUAUUUUUUGUUUUUAUAUAUAAAUUGUUGUUUCUUUUUUUUUUUCUUUUCUUUUAUCUAGAUUUUUUCCUUUCAUUUUUUUAUUUUUGUGUGUUUUUAAUUUUUUUCUAUUUUGUUUUUUAAGUUUUAUAAAUGUGUGUUAUCUCUUUCUUUUUCUGUUUUUUUUUAAUUUUUUUUUUAUAUAUUUUGUAUCUUCUCUCUUUUUUGUAUUUUUAUGUAUUUAGGUAUUUUGAUUUUCUUUUGGUUGUUUUUCUCUUUUUAUCUAUAAUUUUUUUCUUUUUUUUGCCUUUUUGUUUUGAAUUUUUUCCUCUUUGUUAUCUAUUUUUUCUGUUUUUCCUUUAUUCCUUUUUUUUUUUUUUCUUUUUUUUCAGUUUUUUUCUAUUGUUUCUACUUUUUCUGUUUUUCUGUUUUUUCUAUUUAUAUAUAAAUAUUUUGUUAUCUUUUUUUCUUUUAUCCUUUUUUCUACAUUUUUGUCGUUUCAUUUUUAUUUAUUUUUAUUUUUUUUCUAUUUUCUGUUUUUUUCAUGUUUUAAAUUUUUGAACUGGUUUUUUUUUUUUUUUUUUUUUUUUACAAUUUUUAUCUAUUUUUUUUUGCUUAUAUAUAUGUUUUGUUAUCUUCUUUUUUCCCUUUUCCCUUCUUUCUCUUUUUAUAUUCUUUUUCUUGUUUUCCUUUAUUUCUUGUUUUUAUUUGUUAUCUACUUUUUUCCUAUUGUUUUUGUUUUUGUUCUUCUUUUCUUCAAUUUUUUGAUUUUAAUUUCAUUUUGUUUUUGUUUUUUUUUCUUAAUUUUUUCUGUUUUGUUUUCUAUUUUAAACUAUUUUAACAGUUUUUUCAUUUUUUUCCUAAUUUUUUAUCUAAUUUUUAUGUUUAUAAAUAUUUUUUUAUUUUACGAAUUUUUUCAUAAAAAAUCAAAAAAAAAUUUUGUUAUCUGCUUCUUUUACAAUUUUUCUUUUUAAAAAUUUUUUUUCUAGUUUUUAUGUGGUUUGUUUAGAGAAUAUAUAUAUAUAUAAUAUAUAGAUAUAGAUAUUAUAUAUAUAUAUAUAUAUAUAUAUAUAUACUGAUAAUAUCUUCUCUUUUUAUUUUUAUUUUUUAUUUUUAUCUUCUUUUUCCUCUUUAUUUUUCUUAUUUAUUUAUUUUGCUUUUCUUUUGUUUUUCCUCUAUUUUUUUCUACAGUUUUUUUCUCAUAUUUUUCAUUUUUUCUAUUUUAAUUUUUUAACUUUUUUACUUUUUACUUUUUUGGUUUUUAAUUUAUCUUUUUUUUUUUACUUUUUUAUGUAAUUUUUGUUUAUCUUCUUUUUUUUUCCUAUUUUUUUUCUUAAUUCCUUUUUUCUUUUUUUUCUUUUUUCUAUUCCUAUUUUCUUUUUUCUUUAGUGUUUUUUCAAUUUUUUUCUAAUUUUUUGUUUUUUUCAUGUUUUAAAUUUUUGUUAUUUUCUUUCUUUUACUGUUUCUUUUUUUUAAUCUAUUUUAUCUAUUUUUUAUUUUAUUUUUUUUAUAUAUAUGUUUAUAUCUUCUCUUGUUUUUAUAUUUUAUUUUUAUUUCUAUUUUAUCUUCUUUUUUUGUAUUUUUAUUUAUUUAUUUAUUUUGCUUUUAUUUUAUUUUUCUUUUUUUAUCUACAUUGUUUUUUUUUUUUUUUAUAUCUAUUUUUACUGAAAUUUAUCUUCUCUUUUUUUUCCUUUUUUUCCUUUAUACCUUUUUUUCUUUUCUGAUUUUUCUUUUUUUUUUGGUUUUUUCUUAUUUUAUCUACUUUAUCUACUUUUUCUAUUUAUAUGUAAAUAUUUUGUUUUUUUGUUAUUUUCCUUUUUUCUAAUUUUAUCUACAUUUGUUUUCUUUCAUUUCAUUUUUAUUUUCUUUUUUUCAUGUUUUAAAUUUUUGUUAUUUUCUUUCUUUUACGGUUUCUUUUUUUUUUCUUUUUAUAUAUAUGUUGAUAUCCUCUCUUUUUUUAUUUUUAUUUUUAUUUUUCUAUUUUAUCUUUUUUUGUUAUUUAUUUUGCUUCUCUUUUUUUUUUAUCUACAUUUUUUUUUUGUAAUGUUGUUUACUCGCGUCAUUUGUUAUUUUUUUUUCUAUUUGUAUGUGUUAUCUUCUUUUUUCUUCCUCAUUUAUUCCUUUCUUCCUUUUUUUAUUUUUAAUUCUUAGUUAUUCUUAUUUUGUCGAUUCUCUUAUUUUAUCACUUUUUGUGCUUUUUUUUUUUUUUAUAUAAUAUGUUGUUAUUUUUUAUAUUUUAUAUCUAUUUUUCUCUUUUAUUUUUUUUUUUAUCCUGUUUUUAAUUUCUUUCCCUAUUUUCAUGUUUAUUUUUUUUGGGU
rnacentral:lncRNA from 1 species